AUUGAACGCUGGCGGCAGGCCUAACACAUGCAAGUCGAACGAGUGGCGGACGGGUGAGUAAUGUCUGGGAAACUGCCCGAUGGAGGGGGAUAACUACUGGAAAAGGUAACUAAUACCGCGUACCAUAGGAUGUGCCCAGAUGGGAUUAGCGUGUAGGUGAGGUAACGGCUCACCUAGGUGACGAUCCCUAGCUGGUCUGCGAGGAGGACCAGCCACACUGGAACUGAGACACGGUCCAGACUCCUACGGGGGGCAGGAGUGGGGAAUAUUGCACAAUGGGCGCAAGCCUGAUGCAGCCAUGCCGCGUGUAUUAAGAAGGCCUUCGGGUUGGAAAGUACGUUCAGCGGGGAGGCGUUACCCGCAGAAGAAGCACCGGCUAACUCCGUGCCAGCAGCCGCGGUAAUAC
rnacentral:rRNA from 1 species